UACGGGGGGGGCAAGCGUUGUUCGGAAUUACUGGGCGUAAAGCGUGCGUAGGCGGUUUGUUAAGUCCGUUGUGAAAGCCCUGGGCUCAACCUGGGAAUUGCAGUGGAUACUGGCGAGCUAGAGUGCGGUAGAGGAUGGUGGAAUUCCCGGUGUAGCGGUGAAAUGCGUAGAGAUCGGGAGGAACACCCGUGGCGAAGGCGGCCAUCUGGACCAGCACUGACGCUGAGGCACGAAAGCGUGGGGAGCAAACAGG
rnacentral:rRNA from 1 species